UCCUACGGGAGGCAGCAGUAGGGAAUAUUGGACAAUGGGCGCAAGCCUGAUCCAGCCAUGCCGCGUGAGUGAAGAAGGCCUUCGGGUUGUAAAGCUCUUUUGUCCGGAAAGAAAAGCUUCGGGUCAAUACCCCGGAGUCCUGACGGUACCGGAAGAAUAAGCACCGGCUAACUUCGUGCCAGCAGCCGCGGUAAUACGAAGGGUGCAAGCGUUACUCGGAAUUACUGGGCGUAAAGCGUGCGUAGGUGGUUUGUUAAGUCUGAUGUGAAAGCCCUGGGCUCAACCUGGGAAUGGCAUUGGAUACUGGCAGGCUAGAGUGCGGUAGAGGGUAGUGGAAUUCCCGGUGUAGCAGUGAAAUGCGUAGAGAUCGGGAGGAACAUCUGUGGCGAAGGCGACUACCUGGACCAGCACUGACACUGAGGCACGAAAGAAUGGGGAGCAAACAGGAUUAGAUACCGAGGUAGUCCACGCCAGAAAGGGGCCGGGGGGGGAGGCGGGGGGAAAACCCCCCCCCUUAGG
rnacentral:rRNA from 1 species